UAGGCCUGCCAUGAUCAGGUGACGUGGCAAUUAAGCGCGCCGCCACCCUUAUUAUCUUCAGCGAGACUGCAUGUCUGUUGUUUGUGUGACAAAAAACGCUUCAUUGCUACUCUAUAUUUUCUCAAAAUCUCUUAACUUUUCUAUCCCUUUUCUAUCCCGGCUGAACUCCCACCGGCGACAGCAGGAUUGGGGAGCUACCUGCUGGAAUUCCUCUGCAGCUACUAAGUUUAUUUCUGCAGCCUGGCAUAUCCCAAGCCUACUAAGAGCCACUGGAUCAGGUUCUUGGUGUCCUGGUUUUGCGGCCCGGCCAGGGACUGGGUGGAGCAACUGGUCAGUACUGGGUCCCCCACUCUCCACGACGUCACCCAGUUCGUGGAACUUUUUGUCAAUUUGAUACUGGUGUAGCACGAUUGGGGAGCUACCUGCUGGAAUUCCUCUGCAGCUGCCAGGUUUAUUUCUGCAGCCUGGCA
ensembl:lncRNA